UACGAGGGGGGCAAGCGUUGUUCGGAAUUAUUGGGCGUAAAGGGCGCGUAGGCGGUGCGGUAAGUCACCUGUGAAAACUCUGGGCUCAACUCAGAGCCUGCAGGCGAAACUGCCGUGCUUGAGUGUGGGAGAGGUGCGUGGAAUUCCCGGUGUAGCGGUGAAAUGCGUAGAUAUCGGGAGGAACAUCAGUGGCGAAGGCGGCCUUCUGGUCCAGUACUGACACUCAAGU
rnacentral:rRNA from 1 species